CAAUCUCAAAAUAUCUAUUUGUUGAUGAACAUUCUGAUUUAUUAUCAAGAAUAUAAUAUAUGAAGCAAAUAAUUUGGCAUAUUCUUUUAAAGUUUUAAAAUGAUUCUCUAAAUAUAUCUAAAAUCGUCAAUUAUAUAAAAAUAUCAAUGAUUUUGAUAUAUUGAAUUUCAAAUAUCAAUCGAUAAAAAUAUCGAUAUAUCGAUGUAUCGUUGCCAUCCUCACGCCAUUCGAUUAUUUAUAUCUUUUUUUAACUUAUGUAUGCAGUUAUGCACAUGUAUAAAUUUUUCAUAAACAAUUUCAAAAACAAUGCAACAAAAAUAAACAUAAUAUAAGAAUGAAAUAAUAAUAUAAUUCAGUGAAGUAAUAAAAUGUUUCUUAAUACGUCUCUCACAAAAAUAUAAUAACAAUAACAAUAAUAUGAUGAAAAGUACAAUGCAUUGUUGAUGCAGUGGCUAAAAAACAAAUAGUAAUGCUUAGCUAUUUAUUUGAUUUGACUCCCUAUGAUUAUUUCUCGUGUUCAAGAAUAAUAAAAGGUUAAAAAAAAAAAAAAUAUCAAUGCUACGAUAACAUUUCAAUCAUAUAAGCAAUCGUGACCAAAAUACAAUAAAUCUCUAAAAGUCUAUCUUUGCAGUUAGUUGAUCGAAUACAGUGAUGCCGAAAGAAUAUACUUUAUAUAUGAUGAAUAAAAUGAAUGAUUUUUGAAGUCUAAAUGUUUUUUACGAAUUUUUAUGAACGAUUUUUUACAACUAUUAUAAAUUCUAAAAUAAAUGACUUUUAUUAUAAUGAAUUUCAUAAAUUUCAAAAAUUUUUAAUUUAUAUAUAAGAAUAGUAAAAAACAAGAAUGUGUCAUAUGUAUAUCAAUGUUGAUUUUUUAUAUUUUGUUUUAUAUUUUAUAUUUUGUUAUAGUGAAAUAAAUUUUAUAUCUAAAAUUUAAUAAGAAUUAUUAUCACUAUUUAAUUUAUUAUUUAAAUAUGAUUCAAUAUUAUAAUUUUCUAUAAAAAUAAAAUUUCUUAAAUAAUAUUUUCCUCAAAAAUGAAAAUAUGAUUAUAUUCUGUAUUAUAUUCUGUUUUUCAUUGGAUCUUUUUAUUAUUAAUUCUAUUACUUUUUAGACAUGCUAUGUAUGUAUCUAUAUUGGGAAUAGGAAGAGAAAUGAGGGCCAGCCGUCGUAAUGAGGUUAAUCAGCGCAGAUGACACGGAAGUUCUGACGAUAACAGAUAUCGUGAUAGCUAGGCGAUAUGAUUCGAUCGCAAAUGGAAAUUCACGGAAAUGGACGUUUAUUUUAUCUCGGUUGAUUAAUCAAUAUAUCGAGCAACCGUGUCGACUGCAUCGCUUAAUCGCAUUUAUCGUAAUCCGUCAGCGUCCCAAACUAGUCGCUUGGCGUCAACUGAUCGGUUGCAUUCGCUGUCACUAUUUCGAAUAUCGUCGUAAUUAAUUCUUCGUACAGUGUUGCCGUUCUAUUCACCUGAAUAUGUACGAAGUUGUGAGAAUCAUAUCGUUCUCCUCGACAUUUCGACUCGAGACGAUAUUGAAUAAAAAUAAAUAUUGUAAAAUAAGACCGAAUACAUAACCUCGGUAAUAUAUAAAACUUAUUUAUUUAAAAGAGAAGACGAAGAAAGAACAAAAAUCUUACUGGAUACACAAAUGUAUACAAAAGAAAAAUUAUACACACGCUUGUUAAUUCACUCGAUGGUUACGUUUAGACUCGAUUAGACACGAAUUCGGACGAGUUUAGCCGAACUUGGACGAAUUAAAAAGAAACAGAUAUACUGCUUGGAAUCAAAUGUUCUUAUUUCGCGCGCGGAUUUAAAAACAUUUUAAACGAAAAUUUCAAGCUCAGCAUCGACUAAACUAAUACGAUAUCCACAAUCUGAAAUUGGCGUUACAUAUUACGGAGCAAAAUUGUGGCAAUCAGAUCGAAAAAACGAUUGUGUCCAUGUUCGAAUAUGAUUGCAAUUUAUUCAAGACACGUUGCAACGAUCAAUUUCA